UAAUACGAAGGGGGCUAGCGUUGCUCGGAAUGACUGGGCGUAAAGGGCGCGUAGGCGGUUCGGUUUGUUAGGUGUGAAAUUCCUGGGCUUAACCUGGGGGCUGCACUUAAAACGGCCGGGCUUGAGUUCGGAAGAGGGUCGUGGAAUUUCCAGUGUAGAGGUGAAAUUCGUAGAUAUUGGAAAGAACACCGGUGGCGAAGGCGGCGACCUGGUCCGAUACUGACGCUGAGGCGCGAAAGCGUGGGGAGCAAACAGGAUUAGAUACCCUGGUAGUCCACGCUGUAAACGAUGUGUGCUGGAUGUUGGGUGACCUAGUCACUCAGUGUCGUAGCUAACGCGGUAAGCACACCGCCUGGGGAGUACGGCCGCAAGGUUG
rnacentral:rRNA from 1 species